AGUGUCCCUGCUUUCUCCCAUGUAUACAUGUUAUUAAACUUAGUAUUAUUUUCUCCUGCUAACCUGUCUUGUUGAUUAUUUGGCCAGCCAGAAGAACCUUAAGGGAAAGGGCAGAGGGAGAGUCUCCCUCUCCCCCCUACAGUUUUGGCGAGCCAGCCAGGAGACCACACUGGCUGGCAAGUUGCCUUCUCUGGCUAGAAGACCUGCCUUCUACCUGGACUGCUGCAGAUGAUGAGAUACGGGAACGCCUGACGAAAGCCGGCAAAAGCAUGUUAUAAGACCAGCAGUAGCUGCGGCAUGGCAGAUAUCGGGAUCUUCUUGGUUUGGAGAUUUACAACAUAAAUGAGUGAGUAAGAGGAAAAGAAGGAUGACAGUCACGUCUUCACAGAGGAAGCAGUGUAACUGUGGGAACCAGUCCAAACCAAAGCCUGGUUUAAGCAUCUUCAUCCCUUUGAGGAUGUCCAGUGACAUAUUCAAGAGGCCGGUUACUAGAAUCCCAUCCGAUUCUGGCAAUGACGGGUCUCUGGGAGGACACAUUGGACCAGCCCCACCAGGUCUGCUGGCCCGAGAGACCACAAGGACUCCAGGCCUGCAGCAGUGAAGGACCACUGGAACUGGACCCCAAAGGUGCCACCUCUGAUCCACAGGGAAGGGGGUGACAGGAUACUUUGCUUCCUCUUUUACAUGACACUCCUAACGUCCUUGCAGCAGGAUCCACUAAGAAUCCAUCAGUUGCCUAGAUGCUUCUCAUAAGCCACCGGGGUCAUAUGUCAUUGCCAACCAGGCACUCAGAGUGUGAGCUCCUGGCAGGCAGGGACCACUUGGUCAUUUUCAUCCCGCACUUUGGCACACCAGGGCACCUGGCACAAGAUGUCCUCUUCACUCCUGAGGCAUCCAACCUUAACGAGGACAAUGACUCCCCCCUGCCUCCAGAUGAGGACCCCGAAGGUCCAACAAGGACUGGUCUUCUCCCCCAUCUCUAGACUUGGUGUCCAGUGCUCUGGCAUCUUCUUCAUUAUCCCCAGUUCUCAUCCACCCAAGCCCCCAAGCCUCCUCAGUUCUAAACAGUCUCAAGUGGGUGGAAAGCAUUUUCUCAGCGUUGUAGAGCACAGUAGGUCAUCAACAGAGAACCUAGUCCAACAGACAUGUUGUGAGUGCAUGGAACCCUUGGAGUCACCUGCUGGAUGCACUCGACUUUAUACAGGAGGACCCUCACUGAGGUCUUCUCUCCUGUUCCCAAUGCAUACACAAGGGGAGGAUGGGCUCAUCACAGUUCUGGGUGCCCACAGAGGUGGACUGCGGGACCCCAGUCCUGUGCUCUCCAAGCUGGGCCAGGGAUGGGUCUGGAACAGGUAGAAACCUAGGAAACUUAGGGAUUCCUCUGCCCAUCUCUGUGCCCCUGGACACGUAUCUAGGAGAACAGAUGCUAUGGCCCCAUGGGAGAGCUGCCUCCAGCCUCUCUCCCUCCUGCCUCUUGUCACUUCCUCCGGUUCGGCUCUUUCUUGACUGCACCUCCAUGGCCCCUACAUGAGAAGUCAGUGUGAGUGGGGGUGCCUGUGCACAUGUGAUGAUGAGGAGAGGUAAAUGACUCCAUAUGGACAGGGGUGGGCAGCAACCCCCUAGGAUCUUAAUGCCUCUCAUUGCCAAAGGAAACCUGAGGGAAGGGGCGGAGCGUUGGCCAAGGAAGCUGGAGCUUUGUCUAGUCUUCAGGACCCUGACUACCUCCUGUGGUCUGGGCCAGUACCUGCCUCUUUCUGGGCCAGUUUCCCAACUGUACAGUGAGGGGUAAGAUGUGCAACAGCACAAGCAUGUGCUCGGCCAGGACAAGUCAUCAGGCCCCAUAGAUACAUUAAGUACAAUUUAAGUGUAUUGAAGACAUUAAUAUUGCUGUGAAAUCAUCACCACGACCCAUCUUCUGAACUCUUCUCAUCUGCCAAACUGAAAUUCUAUAUCCAUUCAUGAAUGACCCCCAUUCCUCCUCCUCCCAGCCCCUGGCAAACACCAUUCUACUUUCUGUCUCUCUGAAUCUAGCGAUUUCAGGAACCUCAUAGAAGGGAAAUCACACAAGGUUGUAUUUCUGUGACUGGCUUAUUUCCUUUAGAGUAAUAUCCUGAAGGUUCAUCCAUGGUGUGCUGUAUCUUAGAAUUUCCUUCCUUUGUUAAGAAUGAAUAAUAUACCAUUGUAUGUAUAUACCACAUUUUGCAUAUCCAUACAUCCCUGGACAGAUACCAUAGCCAGGCCCAAAACCAAGCCAAAAAUAAAAUGGGGCCCUGACCCGAUUUUUAUCAACGGUCCCCUGGAGACUACUUUCUUAAGCCAUGUUCCAUAUAUUUACUAAGGAUCUGGUCUUGGGCCAUGAGUUGUUUUUC